rnacentral:rRNA from 1 species
UACGUAGGGUGCGAGCGUUAAUCGGAAUUACUGGGCGUAAAGCGUGCGCAGGCGGUUUGUUAAGCGAGAUGUGAAAGCCCCGGGCUCAACCUGGGAACCGCAUUUCGAACUGGCAAACUAGAGUCUUGUAGAGGGGGGUAGAAUUCCAGGUGUAGCGGUGAAAUGCGUAGAGAUCUGGAGGAAUACCGGUGGCGAAGGCAGCCCCCUGGGCCUGUACUGACGCUCAUGCACGAAAGCGUGGGGAGCAAACAGG